UACAUCGGAGACCAGGUUGGCGACGCGUAUUCUUGGGGAAUUAACACACAUACGCGCUGUUAUUGCUUGAGAAUACACGUAGUUUGCCUGGUCGAUCUCU
rnacentral:pre_miRNA from 1 species